rnacentral:lncRNA from 1 species
AAUUAGGAAGCUGCCCUUCUUCAUGUACUUCAAGGUGAGCACUUUAGAAUUUUUUCCCCAAUGUUCUAGACUGUGGUUUUGGCACAUUAUUGAAAGUUUAUGACAAUGUGUUCCGAUGGAGAGAGAGAAUGGUUAGAAUCUUCUUUUCAUGAAUGUAGUCUGCUAAGAAAGUAAGGAGUGUUUUACCUCGCAUGUUAAGGUGGUUGAUGGCUUCCUUCCCAUGGAGACUGUUGAGAAAAAGCUGAGAGAACUUGCUAGGAGCUGCAUUUAGGUCCCCACUUUAGAAGUUUAUUAACUGCUGGUGUCCUGAUUAUGUAAUGUGAAAUAUGUGAGGCUACAAAACACUUACAUUUCUAGACUACACAUAUCUACAAAUGUUGUUGAGGGUGAACACUGCAUUAGUUAUUGGCCAUUACUCUCUCAACUUCAAAGUUCAGACCUACUGCUUUUCCUCGGCAGUAUAGUACUUCCUUCUCUGUAACAAACUAAUAGCUACCGAUUUUUAUAGGGCUAACAUGUCUUUGUUUUCUUUGUGGUCGUAUCUUUGAAACAGGUAGGACGGCUGCUAAUUUAGUUGACAAAGAAGUUUAUUAAAUAAUAAGCUUGGUAAGCUUUUCCCUGUACAAAACAUAAUCACAUAUUAUUUUAGCUUGUGCCUAAUGCUUAUUAGAUAGCUUGUUUAGUUAGAGAGUUUGUAGAUUUCCCUUUCACUUAAGUGACUAGAACAUCUCU